rnacentral:miRNA from 1 species
UAGCGUAAACGGGUCAAGUGC